rnacentral:rRNA from 1 species
AGCGAACGCUGGCGGCAGGCUUAACACAUGCAAGUCGAACGGGCACUUCGGUGCUAGUGGCAGACGGGUGAGUAACGCGUGGGAACGUGCCUUUCGGUUCGGAAUAAUCCAGGGAAACUUGGACUAAUACCGGAUACGCCCUUCGGGGGAAAGAUUUAUCGCCGAAAGAUCGGCCCGCGUCUGAUUAGCUAGUGGUGAGGUAAGGCUCACCAAGGCGACGAUCAGUAGCUGGUCUGAGAGGAUGAUCAGCCACACUGGGACUGAGACACGGCCCAGACUCCUACGGGAGGCAGCAGUGGGGAAUAUUGGACAAUGGGGCGAAAGCCUGAUCCAGCCAUGCCGCGUGAGUGAUGAAGCUUAGGUUGUAAAGCUCUUUGUCCGGGAAGAUAAUGAC